UACGAGUGCCCCAAGCGUUAUCCGGAAUCACUGGGCGUAAAGGGUGUGUAGGCGGUUGUGUUAGUCUCCUGUUAAAACCUCGGGCUUAACCCGAGAUCGGCCGGAGAAACGGCACAACUAGAGUAUGCGAGAGGUGAAUGGAACUCACGGUGUAGGGGUGAAAUCCGUUGAUAUCGUGGGGAACACCAAAGGCGAAGGCAAUUCACUGGCGCAUGUCUGACGCUGAGACACGAAAGCGUGGGUAGCGAAUGGG
rnacentral:rRNA from 1 species